GAUGAACGCUGGCGGCGUGCCUAAUACAUGCAAGUCGAGCGAACAGACGAGGAGCUUGCUCCUCUGACGUUAGCGGCGGACGGGUGAGUAACACGUGGAUAACCUACCUAUAAGACUGGGAUAACUUCGGGAAACCGGAGCUAAUACCGGAUAAUAUAUUGAACCGCAUGGUUCAAUAGUGAAAGACGGUUUUGCUGUCACUUAUAGAUGGAUCCGCGCCGCAUUAGCUAGUUGGUAAGGUAACGGCUUACCAAGGCAACGAUGCGUAGCCGACCUGAGAGGGUGAUCGGCCACACUGGAACUGAGAAACGGUCCAGACUCCUACGGGAGGCAGCAGUAGGGAAUCUUCCGCGAUGGGCGAAAGCCUGACGGAGCAACGCCGCGUGAGUGAUGAAGGUCUUCGGAUCGUAAAACUCUGUUAUUAGGGAAGAACAAAUGUGUAAGUAACUAUGCACGUAUUGACGGUACCUGAUCAGAAAGCCACGGCUAACUACGUG
rnacentral:rRNA from 1 species